CCCGCCGCCGCCUCUCGGCCGCCGCCGCCGCUGCUGGGCAGCCGGAUAGUGCUCUUGGCAGUCUGCGGAGGACCAGCAGUCAGCCUUCCCAUUUCUCCAGUUGGGUGGAGUAGCCCUUCCUUUAAGAACACAAGACCCUGCAAAGGAGCCCAGAAAUUCUUCAUCAUUUGUUUCUGGGGCCAAGGAAAAUAUUGAGAACAUUUUGCUGCCCCACACACCCUUCCAGGACAUGUUGAUUGCCAGCUGCUCUGUGCAACUUUUCUCCAGCUAUGUCUCUUCAAGCAAAGACCAAAAAGGAAAGCAAGAAAAAACUAUGAAAACAUUAUAAUAAAUGAUAAAAUUAA